GUGGGCUCGCUUUGGCUGCACGUAUAUUAAAAUUGGAACUAUACAGAGAAGAUUAGCAAGGCCUUAUGUAGGAUGGCACGCAAAUUUGUGAAGCACUCCAUAUAUAC